UGUGACACUCAUUGGUCAGUAAAUGAUGACAUAAGUUUAAUUUUUGGGUGAAUUAUGCCUUUAGUAUAGUUAGAUGAUAAGGCAUGUGCAUAUGCAAUUAAAUAUCCAAUAUUAAAAACUCUCUAAUAUCAGCUGAUAACCUAUUUGUUUAUAUAGUGCAUUCCUACUGAUUUGCAUUAGUUCUUUAGUAAACAGGGGUUUAAAAUGACUCAAAUUGAUGGCAAUAUAUAUUUUCAGACUAUGUGCAAACCUUCCUAAUGUCUGUUUUUAUUUCACAGUGGCUCAGGGGAAGUGUAAUAUUGGCAGGGCAGACCUGCUGCAGUAUAGUGGCCUUGGGGACUGGAUGAGGUGCCAGAGGCUUGUCUCUUCCUGACAUUCAGAACAGAUGCCUUAUACUAACAAACACAAGCGCCAGCCUCAAGUCUCCUCAGAAAAACACCCUCACACUUUCUCUCACCUCACCAGCGAUUCUGACACUCCAGGAAGUCCCCUAAAGCCUGUGAAUGUGCAGCUGGCACAGCGGGAAGGCCUCAUCCCAAAGCUAAUCUGGACAGGUGACGUGCAUAACAGCACAGCACCUCUGGACAUGUUUCUACUUUAUGUUGCUCUUUUCUAAAUCUCACACUGAAUGGCUUUUCUUUAAGUCUCUUGGCAGAUAUUCAGGGUCUCUGCACAUGGAUGUCACUCAAAAAUUUAACAACUGUUUGACCCUAUGUUGUCUAAAAACAUCACUGGGAGUGUUUACACUUUGGCGCUUCACAGCUGGGAUGCAUUCGAGAUGGAUAGGACCUCGGGAGAUGGUUCGAGACCAAAGAAGUUCAAUAUUCACUACCAUUCAAAAGUUUGGGGCCACUAAGAUUUGAACAAAAUAAAGUCAGCAAG
ensembl:lncRNA